GACGAACGCUGGCGGCGUGCUUAACACAUGCAAGUCGAACGGAAAGGCCCUGCUUUUGUGGGGUGCUCGAGUGGCGAACGGGUGAGUAACACGUGAGUAACCUGCCCUUGACUUUGGGAUAACUUCAGGAAACUGGGGCUAAUACCGGAUAGGAGCUCCUGCUGCAUGGUGGGGGUUGGAAAGUUUCGGCGGUUGGGGAUGGACUCGCGGCUUAUCAGCUUGUUGGUGGGGUAGUGGCGUACCAAGGCUUUGACGGGUAGCCGGCCUGAGAGGGUGACCGGCCACAUUGGGACUGAGAUACGGCCCAGACUCCUACGGGAGGCAGCAGUGGGGAAUAUUGCACAAUGGGCGGAAGCCUGAUGCAGCAACGCCGCGUGCGGGAUGACGGCCUUCGGGUUGUAAACCGCUUUCGCCUGUGCCGAAGCGUGAGUGACGGUAAUGGGUAAAGAAGCACCGGCUAACUACGUG
rnacentral:rRNA from 1 species